rnacentral:rRNA from 2 species
AACGAUGAGUGCUAAGUGAUUAGAGGGUUUCCUGCCCCUUUAGUGCUGAAGUUAACGCAUUUAGCACUCCGCCUGGGGGAGUACGGCCGCAAGGCUGAAACUCAAAAGAAUUGACGGGGGCCCGCACAAGCGGUGGAGCAUGUGGUUUAAUUUGAAGCAACGCGAAGAACCUUACCAGGUCUUGACAUCCUUUGAAAAACCUAGAGAUAGGGCUUCUCCUUUGGGAGCAGAGUGACAGGUGGUGCAUGGUUGUCGUCAGCUCGUGUCGUGAGAUGUUGGGUUAAGUCCCGCAACGAGCGCAACCCUUGAUUUUAGUUGCCCUCCUUAAGUUGGGCACUUUAAGGUGACUGCCGGUGACAAACCGGAGGAAGGUGGGGAUGACGUCAAAUCAUCAUGCCCCUUAUGACCUGGGGUACACACGUGGUUCAAUGGACGGUACAAAGAGCUGCAAGACCCCGAGGUGGAGCUAAUUUCAUAAAACCGUUUUCAGUUUGGAUUGUUGGGUGCAACUUGCCUACCUGAAGCCGGGAUCCCUUGUAAAUGCGGAUCAGCCUGCCGCGGUGGAUACUUCCCGGGCCCUUUCCCCCCCCCCGUCACACCCAGAGGGUUUUUACCCCCCAAC